CGCCUAACCCUCGUAGAUUUCUGCGAGGUAUGGCACAAAAACUGUUCAGGAUACCAAGCUCGUCGUCAGAGCACCUGAACAGUCAUAUCCCGAAAGGGGUAUGGGUGGCCGAAAGGUCAUC
rnacentral:sRNA from 1 species